AAAAUUAUAUAAUUAUAUAUUAUAUAUUAUAUAAAAAUUAAAUAAUAUGAUCGAGAUCAGGGAAUUGAAUCCACGAGACAGAUGGUACUUCCCCGAUAUCUGUCUCAAAGUGUCAUUGGAGAAUUUUUUUCCUACAUCUUCGUCUCUGCAAAAAAAAAAAAUCCUCAAUUUCGAAGCUCCGAACAAAUAAUCUCUACAAACUCUCCAUUAUCAAAUACUAGUAGAAAUUAACAUUCCUAAGCAUGUCUGUC
rnacentral:lncRNA from 1 species